CGUCAGGAUGAACGCUGGCGGCGUGCCUAAUACAUGCAAGUCGAGCGAACAGAUGAGAAGCUUGCUUCUCAGAAGUUAGCGGCGGACGGGUGAGUAACACGUGGGCAACCUACCUAUAAGACGGGGAUAACUCCGGGAAACCGGGGCUAAUACCAGAUAAUCAAGAGAGACACCUGUUUCUCUUGUGAAAGUCGGUUUCGGCUGACACUUAUAGAUGGGCCCGCGGCGCAUUAGCUAGUUGGUGAGGUAACGGCUCACCAAGGCCACGAUGCGUAGCCGACCUGAGAGGGUGAUCGGCCACACUGGGACUGAGACACGGCCCAGACUCCUACGGGAGGCAGCAGUAGGGAAUCUUCGGCAAUGGACGAAAGUCUGACCGAGCAACGCCGCGUGAGCGAUGAAGGCCUUCGGGUCGUAAAGCUCUGUUGUCAGAGAAGAACAAGUAUCGGAGUAACUGCCGGUACCUUGACGGUACCU
rnacentral:rRNA from 1 species